rnacentral:rRNA from 1 species
GAUGAACGCUGGCGGCGUGCCUAAUACAUGCAAGUCGAGCGAACAGACGAGGAGCUUGCUCCUCUGACGUUAGCGGCGGACGGGUGAGUAACACGUGGAUAACCUACCUAUAAGACUGGGAUAACUUCGGGAAACCGGAGCUAAUACCGGAUAACAUGUUGAACCGCAUGGUUCAACAGUGAAAGACGGUCUUGCUGUCACUUAUAGAUGGAUCAGCGCCGCAUUAGCUAGUUGGUAAGGUAACGGCUUACCAAGGCAACGAUGCGUAGCCGACCUGAGAGGGUGAUCGGCCACACUGGAACUGAGACACGGUCCAGACUCCUACGGGAGGCAGCAGUAGGGAAUCUUCCGCAAUGGGCGAAAGCCUGACGGAGCAACGCCGCGUGAGUGAAGAAGGUCUUCGGAUCGUAAAACUCUGUUAUUAGGGAAGAACAAAUGUGUAAGUAACUAUGCACGUCUUGACGGUACCUAAUCAGAAAGCCACGGCUAACUACGUG